UUACGCCUCUCCAAUCUCUUCCCAAGUGCGGCAGUUUCCGGCGUCUUUCCCAUCGGUGCCUCUUUCGCCGGCGAAAAAAACAAGUUACAGGUUCCCGUCUUCAUUUCUCUUGCUCUAUUAUUCCAUAUCUUUCAAUUUUCUCGCAAUUCAAAAUACAGCAUAUCUAGAAUUCAUUUUCUUAUGAGAAAAUUAUGUUUCUUCCAUCAAUUUCUCGCCUAUUCGCCGAUUCUAAAUCAGUCAAUAAACCAAUUUUUUCACUCAAAUUGGUACAUUUACUCAGCACUUCUUCAUCAUCAGCUGGAGAAUUUUUAAGUCAUUUGCUGAAUAAUAAAAAUGUGUCGGGUAUGGAGAGAACAUUGAGCUCAGUUAGGUCUAAGCUAGAUGCUCGAUGUGUUGAUGAAAUAUUAGAGAAGUGCGCUGUUGAUGAUCCCCAAAUGUGUCUGAGAUUCUUCAUUUGGGCUGGUCUUCAAUCCAGCUAUAGACAUAGUAGUUACAUGUACAGUAGAGCUUACAAACUGCUUGGAGUGGAUAGUAAACCGCAAAUUAUUCGAGAUGCCAUUGAGGCUUAUAGGCUGCAGAAAUAUGUCACAAGUGCUAAGAUGUUUAAAGUUGUGUUGAAUUUGUGUAGAGAGGGAAAAGAUGCUACCUUGGGAUUGUGGGUGUUGAGGAAAAUGAAAGAGUCUAAUUGUCGCCCGGAUACGAUUAUGUAUAAUGUAGUUAUUCGAUUAUUAUGUGAGAAGGGAGAUAUGGAUGAGGCAAUGGGUUUGAUGAGAGAAAUGGACCUGAUUGAUGUUCAUCCUGAUAUGAUCACCUAUGUCGUGAUGAUUAAGGGGUUGUCUGAGGUGGGUAGGUUGGAAGAAGCUUGUGGAUUAACAAAAGCUAUGAGGGGACAUGGAUGUAUACCAAAUACGGUUACCUAUUCAGCUCUUCUUGAUGGGAUUUGUAGGUUUGGGAGUUUGGAAAGGGCACUUGAGUUAUUGAGAGAAAUGGAAAAAGACGGUGGGCAGUGUAAACCUAACGUCGUUUCAUAUACUACUGUGGUUCAAAAUUUUGUUGAAAAAUGUCAGGCGAUUGAGGCACUAAGUAUUUUGGACCAAAUGAGGGAUUUUGGGUGUAAACCAAAUAGGGUACUUAUCUCUACUUUGAUUCAUGGUCUUUGCAAAGAGGGGCAUGUGGAGGAGGCUCAUAAGGUCAUUGACAGAGUAGCUAAAAGUGGUAUUUCAUAUGAUUCUUGCUAUAGCUCUUUAGUUUUAUCGUUAUUUCGGAUUGGAAAAGUCGAGCAGGCAGAAAUGUUUUUUAGGAGAAUGUUGACUGGUGGCCUAAAGCCUGAUAGCUUCACCUCAAGCACAAUAAUACGAUGGCUUUGUCAGCAAAAUCGGAUACUUGAUGGAUAUUGCUUGAUUGAGCAGUCUGCAAGUGUAUCUUCUAUAGAUUCUGAUAUUUAUUCUAUUCUUAUGGCUGGACUAUGUGAGGCAAAUCACCUUGUGGAAGCUGCUAAGCUUGCUCAUCUGAUGGUAGAUAAAAGAAUUCAGUUCAAAGGUCCUUGUGUUAAAAAUGUAAUUGAAUGUCUUAGACGUUGUGGGAAAGAGGAUUUAGCUUCAAGCAUUGGUAACGUUAAGAGCUGAUGAAUAUUACAAUUGCAUUAAUAUGUUGAUCCUACUUGUGCACCAAACAGUCCCCUCGUCAGUUAUGUGGAAUAUUCCACAUAAUUGAAUUCUUCUUCAGUUUUGUGCAAUCAAAUAAAUGUUGGUGCUAUGUGCACAAAACUUGGUCAUCCUUCGUAUUCAGUUAGUUGUUGAGGCUAUGCAUGAGCGGGGGAAUGAAUGUCAAGAGGAAGAGUUCUUGAAUCUGAUAAAGAAAGAAGGAAAAGAGGGAAAUGGGAUAUCAAUAAUUAAGGGAAAAAUAUCUCUCUGUGUACACUUUAUUCGUUUAUCCCAUGUUACUGCUUGAACAAUCAGUAGUUGACUCUUAUGUAAUAUGAGCUCUGGGUAAGUAUUGUCUCUCACUUAGAAAAUUUGAUGACAUUCAAGCAUGAAUGUUCUCAUUUGCAAUAAUCAGAUGUGCUGCUGGCUAUUACC